rnacentral:rRNA from 1 species
GAAAUAACAAUACAGGGCAAUUGUCUUGUAAUUGGAAUGAUGGUGACCUAAACCCUCACCAGAGUAACAAUUGGAGGGCAAGUCUGGUGCCAGCAGCCGCGGUAAUUCCAGCUCCAAUAGCGUAUAUUAAACUUGUUGCAGUUAAAAAGCUCGUAGUUGAAUUUCUGCGUCACCGUAUUUUGACUUUUGUCGACUGUCGGUUUCGCUUUUGGGAUUUAUCCCUUUUUACUUUGAGAAAAUUAGAGUGUUUCAAGCAGACUUUUGUCUUGAAUACUUCAGCAUGGAAUAAUAGAGUAGGACUUUGGUUCUAUUUUGUUGGUUUGUGAACCUUAGUAA